rnacentral:rRNA from 1 species
ACUGAACGCUGGCGGCAUGCCUAACACAUGCAAGUCGAACGGCAGCACAGCCCGCAAGGGUGGGUGGCGAGUGGCGGACGGGUGAGGAAUACAUCGGAAUCUACCCUGUCGUGGGGGAUAACCAGCCGAAAGGUUGGCUAAUACCGCAUACGACCGAGAGGAGAAGGCGGAGGACCGCAAGGCUUCGCGCGAUUGGAUGAGCCGGUGUCGAAUUAGCUAGUUGGCGGGGUAAAGGCCCACGAAGGCGACGAUCCGUAGCUGGUCUGAGAGGAUGAUCAGCCACACUGGGACUGAGACACGGCCCAGACUCCUACGGGAGGCAGCAGUGGGGAAUAUUGGACAAUGGGCGCAAGCCUGAUCCAGCAAUGCCGCGUGCAGGAUGAAGGCCUUCGGGUUGUAAACUGCCUUUGUACGGAGCGAAAAGGCUUCCACUAAUACUGGGGGCUCAUGACGGUACCGUAAGAAUAAGCACCGGCUAACUACGUGCCAGCCGCCGCUGUAAUAC